rnacentral:lncRNA from 14 species
CUUUCCCUGCCAUUCCCUUUCCCUACUAUUCCCUUUCCCUGCCAUUCCCUGUUCCCUGCCCUUCUCCCACCUGAAGCUCUGCCUCUAUUCCCGGCAUUCCCAGCGGAGCAGAGCACACGCAUCGGUGAGUGCUGCUCUUCCAUAGGGAAGCAGAGCUCUUCCCUUCUAACAUGGGACAAAAGGAGCCUGAGUCUCCUCCCUGAGCAUCCCGAAUCCCUUUGGAAUGAUGCUUUGGAUCCACGUUCGAUCCAUUGGGAUACAACCAAAGAUCCAUGAGCUCCGGAUUGAUGGAUCUAUAGGGGGAAAGAACCAUCAUUAAAUCUGCUUUUCCCUUUGCUCUUCCCAGAGGAACUCACAUUGGAGCUGGAGACCCGCGAGAGGAGGAUUGGUGAGUGCAGAGCCUGGAGCUUGGUGUGGGUGAUCCCGGAGUUGGGAAUGCUCAUGGAAUGCUUCCUUUCCUCUUGUCUAUCCAGAGGAACUCACUGCAGAGCUGGAGGAAUACAAAGCCAAAGCACGAAGGUGCCUGCAGGAGCACAGUGAGUGAGCCCCAUGGAUCUGGGAUCUUCCCUAUGGAUCUGGGAUCUUCCCUAUGGAUCCAGGAUCUUCCCUAUGGAUCUGGGAUCUUCCCUAUGGAUCCAGGAUCUUCCCUAUGGAUCCAGGAUCUCCCCAUGGAUCCAGGACCCCCCUGCAGCACAGUGAGUGCUUGUGUGUGUCCUUAGGGAAGGAAGAGGAGACAAUGGGUGAGUGCAGGCAGAGAGGAGGAGGAUGCGAUGGGUGAGUGAUGGGGCUUGGGAAGGGACCACAGGGAGACCUGGAGGACAAAACCCCAUUGGACACCCAAGAGGACAUCAAACCCCCAUUAG